UGCGAGUGGAACGGAGGGGGCCCUGACCUCACAGUCUCCCCCCCUCCUGUGUCCUCCCCCAUCUCAGUCAGUAGUAAUUCACUGCCAAUAAAAGUCCAAGGAAUUGCAAAGGGAAGAUGGUGGGCAAGAUUGCAUCAUGGCAAGGAGAUCGACAAGGGUCUCUCCGGAGACUGGAAGAGGAGGAUUCCGGAUCCAGCUGGGAGGAUUUACUUCCGGACAGAGAUGUCUACAAGAAUCUUGAUUUGAAACUAGAUUCCACAGGAGUAAUUCUUCUGAAAGUAACUCAGUAAAGGAAUGUUUGUUAGAAGAGCGCCAUACAGUCCUGAUGUCAGCUGUUGGUUGAAACUGAGAGCCAGCGUGGUGGAUUCUGGACCAAUCACUGAUCUCUCAGCCUCAUCUACCUCACAGGGUUGUUGUGAGGACACAGCUCUGGGUGCCUUGGAGGAAAAUCAGUAUAUAAAUGUAUAAUAAAUAUUGUGUGUGUGUGUUGUGUCUCUGUGUGUGAGGUGUGUGUGUGUGAGAGAGAGUUGUGUGUGUGUUGUGUGCAUGUUUUUUUUUUUUUUACAGAUUGUACAG